UUCCCUACGGGACGCAGCAGUGGGGAAUAUUGGGCAAUGGGCGCAAGCCUGACCCAGCAACGCCGCGUGAAGGAAGAAGGCUUUCGGGUUGUAAACUUCUUUUCUCAGGGACGAAGCAAGUGACGGUACCUGAGGAAUAAGCCACGGCUAACUACGUGCCAGCAGCCGCGGUAAUACGUAGGUGGCAAGCGUUAUCCGGCUUUACUGGGUGUAAAGGGCGUGUAGGCGGGAAAGCCAGUCAGAUGUGACAACCACGGGCUCUACCUGUGGCCUGCCUUUGAAACUGUUUUUCUUGAGUACUGGAG
rnacentral:rRNA from 1 species